GGAUCGCCCUUAGAGUUUGAUCAUGGCUCAGGACGAACGCUGGCGGCGUGCCUAACACAUGCAAGUCAAGGAGAAUUCCCGACUUGUCGGGAUAGUAAACUGACGAACGGGUGAGUAACACGUAGGUAAUCUACCCUCGGGAUGGGGAUAACUCGCCGAAAGGUGAGCUAAUACCGAAUAAAGUUCCGGUUUAGCUAAGUCGGAAUGAAAGGUGGGGACCUUCGGGCCUACUGCCUGAGGAUGAGCCUGCGACCCAUUAGCUAGUUGGUGAGGUAAUGGCUCACCAAGGCUACGAUGGGUAGCUGGUCUGAGAGGAUGAUCAGCCACAUUGGGACUGAGAUACGGCCCAAACUCCUACGGGAGGCAGCAGUGAGGAAUUUUGCGCAAUGGGCGAAAGCCUGACGCAGCAACGCCGCGUGACCGAUUAAGCUCUGAGGAGUGUAAAGGUCUGUCGCAGAGGAAGAAACCACCCGAUGAGAAUAUUGUCGGGUGUUGACGGUACUCUGUGAGAAAGCUCCGGCUAACUCCGUGCCAGCAGCCGCGGUAAUACGGGGGGAGCAAGCGUUGUCCGGAAUCACUGGGCGUAAAGAGCGUGUAGGUGUUCCAAUAAGUCUCUGUUGAAAUCCUU
rnacentral:rRNA from 1 species